rnacentral:tRNA from 1 species
GCAUCUUUGGCUUAAUUGGUUAAGGCGUCUAACUUCGGAUUAGGAAUAUGUAGGUUCGAGUCCUGCAAGAUGCU